rnacentral:rRNA from 1 species
UACGUAGGGGGCGAGCGUUGUCCGGAUUCAUUGGGCGUAAAGAGCGUGUAGGCGGCCAGAUAAGUCCGCUGUGAAAUCUCGAGGCUCAACUUCGAGCUGUCGGUGGAAACUAUCUGGCUAGAGUCCGGAAGAGGAGAAUGGAAUUCCUGGUGUAGCGGUGAAAUGCGCAGAUAUCAGGAAGAACACCCGUGGCGAAGGCGGUUCUCUGGGACGGUACUGACGCUGAGACGCGAAAGCGUGGGGAGCGAACAGG